CUACGCACUCCUACGGGAGGCAGCAGUGGGGAAUAUUGCUACAAUGGGCGCAAGCCUGAUGCAGCCAUGCCGCGUGUAUGAAGAAGGCCUUCGGGUUGUAAAGUACUUUCAGCAGUGAGGAAGGUGGAUAUGUUAAUAGCAUAUUCAUUUGACGUUAGCUGCAGAAGAAGCACCGGCUAACUCCGUGCCAGCAGCCGCGGUAAUACGGAGGGUGCGAGCGUUAAUCGGAAUUACUGGGCGUAAAGCGCAUGCAGGUGGUUUGUUAAGUCAGAUGUGAAAGCCCGGGGCUCAACCUCGGAAUUGCAUUUGAAACUGGCAAACUAGAGUACUGUAGAGGGGGUAGAAUUUCAGGUGUAGCGGUGAAAUGCGUAGAGAUCUGAAGGAAUACCGGUGGCGAAGGCGGCCCCCUGGACAGAUACUGACACUCAGAUGCGAAAGCGUGGGGAGCAAACAGGAUUAGAUACCCUGGUAG
rnacentral:rRNA from 1 species